UACGUAGGGGGCAAGCGUUGUCCGGAAUCAUUGGGCGUAAAGAGCGUGUAGGCGGUCCGGUAAGUCGGCUGUGAAAGUCCAGGCUCAACCCUGGGAUGCCGGUCGAUACUGCCGGGCUCGAGUCCGGAAGAGGCGAGUGGAAUUCCCGGUGUAGCGGUGAAAUGCGCAGAUAUCGGGAGGAACACCAAUGGCGAAGGCAGCUCGCUGGGACGUGACUGACGCUGAGACGCGAAAGCGUGGGGAGCAAACAGG
rnacentral:rRNA from 1 species